GAGACUAUGAGAGACUGUGAGUGAGUUCUUGAACAGGGUUACACAUUCAAGAACCCAUCAAUAUCUCUGUUUUUCUUCCUUGAUUUGUUGCUUAUUAAGUUGGGAAAGUGUGUGACAAAAAAGGUAUAUAUAGAUAUGGCCCUCACGCACAUCACAUUCCGAAUGAAGAAAGUAAGGGCAAUCUUUAAAGGACAUUUCACC
rnacentral:lncRNA from 1 species